UACGUAGGGUCCGAGCGUUAAUCGGAAUUACUGGGCGUAAAGCGUGCGCAGGCGGUUUUGUAAGCCAGAUGUGAAAUCCCCGGGCUUAACCUGGGAACUGCAUUUGGGACUGCAAGGCUGGAGUACGGCAGAGGGAGGUGGAAUUCCAGGUGUAGCAGUGAAAUGCGUAGAGAUCUGGAGGAACACCGAUGGCGAAGGCAGCCUCCUGGGCUAGUACUGACGCUCAUGCACGAAAGCGUGGGGAGCAAACAGG
rnacentral:rRNA from 1 species